rnacentral:rRNA from 1 species
AUGAGGGCUUUAUUCUGGAAUAUUAGAGGGUUCGGUGCUAGGGGGCGCCGCGACCAACUCAAAGAUCUGGUCCGCUCUAACUCUAUUGAUUUCGUGGGGUUGGUUGAAACUUUUAAGGAAUCUUUUUCCCCUAAUGAUCUCUCUGUUAUCGUGGGCAUGGACAAAUUUAAUUGGCACACGUUACCUGCUUCGGGCCACUCGGGUGGGAUCUUGAUAGGUUCCAAUAAAGAUAUUUUUGAUUUUGUUGCGCUUGAUCAUGGGAUUUUUUGGGCUAGUUCUGUACUCUGUCAUAAAGCCAUGAAUAUCCUCUGCGAGUUUAUCGUCGUUUAUGGGCCGGCUGAUCAUUCUUUGUCUCCUUUAUUUCUUAAUGAGCUUUCUGUGAAGAUAGAAUCCUGCAAUCUCCCGAUGGUUAUUGGGGGAGACUUUAAUCUUCUCUGA